AUGAAGACUCGCUGCCUCCUCUUCCUUUUCGUUGGGCUCGUCUUCAUUCUCUGUGCCCAGGUGCCUCCUGCCUCUGCUCGUGUGCGCCCUGGAAGAUGCCCCAGGCCUGGUAUUGGGGUCUGUGCGAACUUGUGCAGGAGCGACAGCGGCUGUGAUGCAGGACAGAAAUGCUGCUUCAAUGGCUGUGGCCGCAGCUGCAUGAAGGCCAUUAGAGAAUAACCUGGUCUGAAGCCCGGAAUCACUGACAGCCGUCUGUGCGGAAGAACUGCUCCUGUCAAGAGUCGAUGUACCAACUCGGGCCCUGAUCCUCCUCCACUGUCCCGGAGUCCCCUCUCCUCUCUGUCAUCUUUCCACCCAAGGCACACCAAGAUAGCCUAAUUCUCUCUUCACCCUGAAGGGUCAUGCUGGAGGGGAACCGUGAUUAAAGACAC